AAUGGCUGUUGAAUGGAGUAGACCAAGGCGCAGCGUGGUUAGUGCUCAUCAUGAAAUUUAAUGGAAAAUGAGAACACUUUACAACUAAACAAAAGACAACAGCCAAACAGUUCUGUCAGGUAACAAAUGACUAAACAGAAAAUAACCAUCCACAAAACC